AAACAUGACAAGUUCGAACGAUGAAGCCUUUCGGGGUGGAUUAGUGGCGAACGGGUGAGUAACACGUGGGCAAUCUGCCCUUCACUCUGGGACAAGCCCUGGAAACGGGGUCUAAUACCGGAUAACACUCUGUCCCGCAAGGGACGGGGUUAAAAGCUCCGGCGGUGAAGGAUGAGCCCGCGGCCUAUCAUCUUGUUGGUGGGGUAAUGGCCUACCAAGGCGACGACGGGUAGCCGGCCUGAGAGGGCGACCGGCCACACUGGGACUGAGACACGGCCCAGACUCCUACGGGAGGCAGCAGUGGGGAAUAUUGCACAAUGGGCGAAAGCCUGAUGCAGCGACGCCGCGUGAGGGAUGACGGCCUUCGGGUUGUAAACCUCUUUCAGCAGGGAAGAAGCGAAAGUGACGGUACCUGCAGAAGAAGCGCCGGCUAACUACGUGCCAGCAGCCGCGGUAAUACGUAGGGCGCAAGCGUUGUCCGGAAUUAUUGGGCGUAAAGAGCUCGUAGGCGGCUUGUCACGUCGGAUGUGAAAGCCCGGGGCUUAACCCCGGGUCUGCAUUCGAUACGGGCUAGCUAGAGUGUGGUAGGGGAGAUCGGAAUUCCUGGUGUAGCGGUGAAAUGCGCAGAUAUCAGGAGGAACACCGGUGGCGAAGGCGGAUCUCUGGGCCAUUACUGACGCUGAGGAGCGAAAGCGUGGGGAGCGAACAGGAUUAGAUACCCUGGUAGUCCACGCCGUAAACGUUGGGAACUAGGUGUUGGCGACAUUCCACGUCGUCGGUGCCGCAGCUAACGCAUUAAGUUCCCCGCCUGGGGAGUACGGCCGCAAGGCUAAAACUCAGAGGAAUUGACGGGGGCCCGCACAAGCAGCGGAGCAUGUGGCUUAAUUCGACGCAACGCGAAGAACCUUACCAAGGCUUGACAUAUACCGGAAAGCAUCAGAGAUGGUGCCCCCCUUGUGGUCGGUAUACAAGGUGGUGCAAGGCUGUCGUCACCUCCUGUCGUGAGAAGUUGGGGUUAAUUCCCCCCACCGAGGGCAACCCUUUGUUUUUUUGUUUCCCCCAUGGCCCUCUCGGGUGGAUGGGGACUCACAGGAGACUGCCGGGGUCAACUCGGAGGAAGGUGGGGACGACGUCAAGUCAUCAUGCCCCUUAUGUCUUGGGCUGCACACGUGCUACAAUGGCCGGUACAAUGAGCUGCGAUGCCGCGAGGCGGAGCGAAUCUCAAAAAGCCGGUCUCAGUUCGGAUUGGGGUCUGCAACUCGACCCCAUGAAGUCGGAGUUGCUAGUAAUCGCAGAUCAGCAUUGCUGCGGUGAAUACGUUCCCGGGCCUUGUACACACCGCCCGUCACGUCACGAAAGUCGGUAACACCCGAAGCCGGUGGCCCAACCCCUUGUGGGAGGGAGCUGUCGAAGGUGGGACUUGCGAUUGGGACGAAAGUCGAAUAAGAG
rnacentral:rRNA from 1 species